AUGAGGGUAACACUUGAAUACUCCUACUAAUGGAGGAUUUAUAGUCUGAAUUGUCAUCUUUUGUAGUGAGGCAAGGCUUCCAGUGGAGGCCUUGGGUUACUUUUAAUUAAGUUGAUUGGCUGAGAUCCCUAAGCAACCAAGUUUGAUGCUAGGACAGAAGGUUGCUUUAUGAAAUCUGAAAAUGGGGGCCUAUUCCCGAGGGCAAUUUCCUUCCAGUUCAUUGAACACAGAGAAGUUGAGCUGAUGCAGGCUUGGAGUCUUCACUCCUACAUUCUAGUCUCUGUCACAAUAGGUACUCUGUGAGCUAUGCAAAGAGAAUCCUAGACACCAACCCAGUCCCAAGACCUCAAACUUACAGCCUGUCCAGCUCGCAGGAUGGGCUGGGCCAGUUGUGGUAAAGAACUUGUGAGUGAAGCCAAUCAGUGUCUGAUUUAACUUGAGGCCUACUCCUCAAGAAGGAGCUCAUACUGAACACUGCCUGAAUGACUAGGAACUGGAUGUUGGAUACCUCAGAGACCACUGCUUUUGAAAGAACUGGGCAUCUGAGGAGCAAGUCAUUUCCAUGGGACUGUUAAAUUCCCCUCCAUCUGAGGCUUUUCAUCCUGCCUCGCUUAGUCUCGAUCUCCGAGUAGAGCUGACACACUGGGCCAAGGAAACCCUUUCAAAGACAGUUACCUGUAGCUCUUCACGUAAGGAGCACAGCACCUCUUCGUCUAAGGUGACAUCUACCAUUUUACAAAGAAACUGAAAGGACUGAAAGCUUGAAUGCAGGAAUAGCUGACAGGGUCAAGGACAAGAAGAGAUCUUUCAAAGAAGUCUAAGUGAAGACUAGACCGAUGUCACAUGUUCCGGUGUACAACUGUCUCCUGAUUUCUAGUCAGCCUAAUGUAGUUCUUUAAAUCAGCAUUUCUCAAGCUUUCUAAUGUUGCAACCCUUUAAUGCCGUUCCUCAUGAUGUGGGGUGACCCCUAACCACAAAGUUAUUUUCACUGCUACUUCAUGACUGUAAUCUCCUACUGAUGUGAAUCACAAGGUAAAUGUGUGUUUCUUGGUGGCCUUAAGUAAAGGACUAUUUGAUAUACACACCCCUGCAAAGGACUCCAACCAACAGGAUGAAAACCACUGCUUGAAAUCCUGUUGAUAUGGAUCAGGACCUGUUUAAAAAAAAAACAAUAGAAGCACAGCUGAACAUGGAGGGCAGAAUUGCUUGAUUUAACAUAGGUGGGAGGUAAUUUUGGAAAACUGUAUGGAAAAUAAUGCUUUGUAAGUAUAUGUGUUUAGGUAGCAGUAUCUGUAUAUAGAUAAGAACUGCACAAUUAUUCCAAUACUUUGCUAGCAUUAAAUAUAAACAAACUUCACAAAUGUCUGUCUGUAGAGUUGUGAUUAAAUGAACUAUUGUAUACAUUUAUGCAGUUGUUUAGAUCUGCAACUGCUCCCAAAGACCAUGCAUUGAAGGCUUGGCUCUAGAUUAUGUCUGUAGGAGGUAGCAGUCUGCCUCUUAUGAUGGACGUCCCACUCGGAGAAGUUAAGUCAAGCUGGCCAUCAAGGUCUCAGACCACCUCUCUCUUUCUGUAACUGACUCUCAUUCCUUUCAGCUAUGAGGUAAAAGGCACCAACUGUGGUAUGCUGACAUUUACAGGCCAGAAACCAAUAGACAAACUGGAUGUGGACUCAACCCUCUGAAACCAUAUUUCCUGACUUUCUUUUCUAGUUGAUUAUUUCUGAUAUUUUGUGUCAGUGGUGAAAGUCUACUGGACACAGUUCAAACUAUGGCAUUUUAUACAGAAUACAUUAUCCGUACAAAGGCUGAAACUAAAGACUUUUGAAAUGUGAAAUAUGAAAUUCACAAUGAAAAUAAUUAUGAUGCUUAACACCAGAAAGCAAAGAGAGCAAGUAAUUUUAACUGUUUUACGUGAACUCCUUUGGAAGUUAUUGGCAAUCGUGGAAGGAAAAGAAAUAAGCAAGCAAAACCUUUGAGAAGCAGAAGGGUAAACAUUUCGUGUCACUGAGUCAUAGACGGUCAGGAUUUAAAAAAAAAGAAUUCCUUAGCAAAGGCCAAAUUCAGUCUCAUAAAUGCCCAUAAUUCUCUCCAUCCUUAUCUACACUGAUUAUUACUCUCGGGAAACCCACACCUGGUAUCUGGUGUCUUCUCUUUUUCCUCCGCCCCAUGCUCCUCCUCCUCCUUCUUCCCCCUCCUCCUUGUGCUCCUCCUCCCCUUCUUCCUCCUCCUCCUUGUGAUCCUCCUCCCCUUCUUUCCCCUCCUCCUUGUGCUCCUCCUCCCCUUCUUCCCCCUCCUCCUUGUGCUCCUCCUCCCCUUCUUCCCCCUCCUCCUUGUGCUCCUCCUCCUCCUUCUCCCUCCUCCUUGUGCUCCUCCUCCCCUUCCCCCUCCUCCUUGUGCUCCUCCUCCUUCUUCCCCCUCCUCCUUGUGCUCCUCCUCCUUCUUCCCCCUCCUCCUUGUGCUCCUCCUCCCCUUCUUCCCCCUCCUCCUUGUGCUCCUCCUCCUUCUUCCCCCUCCUCCUUGUGCUCCUCCUCCCCUUCUUCCCCCUCCUCCUUGUGCUCCUCCCCUUCUUCCCCCUCCUCCUUGUGAUCCUCCUUCUUCCCCCUCCUCCUUGUGCUCCUCCUCCCCUCCUUCCCCCUUCUCCUUGUGCUCCUCCUCCUCCUUCUUCCCCCUCCUCCUUGUGAUCCUCCUUCUUCCCCCUCCUCCUAGUGCUCCUCCUCCCCUUGCUCCCCCUCCUCCUUGUGCUCCUCCUCCUCCUUCUUCCCCCUCCUCCUUGUGAUCCUCCUCCUCCUUCUUCCCCCUCCUCCUAGUGCUCCUCCUCCCCUUCUUCCCCCUCCUCCUUGUGUUCCUCCUCCCCUUCUUUCCCCCUCCUCCUUGUGCUCCUCCUCCUCCUUCUUCUCCCUCCUCCUUUUGCUCCUCCUCCCCUUCUUCCCCCUCCUCCUUCUGCUCCUCCUCCUUCUUCAGUCGAGGUGUGGUUGUCGUUAUGUAUUGUGGUGCUAACUUUAGUACCUGCAGGCCUAGGCAUAGGCGUGAAUUCUCGUAUUUACCAGCUUUUGUUGUGCAAACCUCGCUCCUUAAUUUAAAACUAUUGGUUAAAUUAAAAUGGCUUCAGCCAUUACUGGGGGAUUAGAGAUAUGUGGGUUUUGAUUAAUUUGUUGGGGGUGAAGAGCAUCAAUAAGAGAGGAGAACAAGGAGGAGAGAGAAGAAGGCACCAUGAGGAGAGAUGGACCAUGAACUCAUGGCCAGAACAAACAGCAAGUAUCUGGGUAACACCGCUGGGGAGGGAGCCAAGCCAGCAAAUAGAGAAGUAGAUUAGGGGUUGCCCCAUACUAAUUGUCAACAUCAAAUAAAAUGACCAUACCUCUCCCUCUUCCUUCAUUUUUUUAAAACAAUCUAGGUACCGGAGUGAAGCAGAUAAUAGAAAUUACAACGGCAAUAGUUAAUAACAGUUCUUGUCAUUUACAGAGGACGUCGAGCACUAACUAUGGAAUAAAUUCCGAGGGACGGCAA